GAGGGGCUCGCGGCCCAUUAGCUUGUUGGUGGGGUAACGGCCUACCAAGGCAACGAUGGGUAGCUGGUCUGAGAGGACGAUCAGCCACACUGGGACUGAGACACGGCCCAGACUCCUACGGGAGGCAGCAGUGGGGAAUCUUGCGCAAUGCGCGAAAGCGUGACGCAGCAACGCCGCGUGGGGGAAGACGGCCUUCGGGUUGUAAACCCCUUUCAGGAGGGACGAAGGUUCACCGGUGAAUAGCCGUGUGGAUUGACGGUACCUCCAGAAGAAGCUCCGGCUAACUACGUGCCAGCAGCCGCGGUAAUACGUAGGGAGCAAGCGUUGUCCGGAAUCAUUGGGCGUAAAGCGCGCGUAGGCGGCCCUGUAAGUCCGUUGUGAAAGUCAAAGGCUCAACCUUUGAAAGCCGAUGGAUACUGCAGGGCUAGAGUCCGGAAGAGGCGAGUGGAAUUCCUGGUGUAGCGGUGGAAUGCGCAGAUAUCAGGAGGAACACCAAUAGCGAAGGCAGCUCGCUGGGACGGUACUGACGCUAAGGCGCGAAAGCGUGGGGAGCGAACAGGAUUAGAUACCCUGGUAGUCCACGCCGUAAACGAUGGGCACUAGGUGU
rnacentral:rRNA from 1 species